rnacentral:rRNA from 1 species
UAAGGAAUAUUGGUCAAUGGACGCAAGUCUGAACCAGCCAUGCCGCGUGAAGGAUGAAGGUCCUCUGGAUUGUAAACUUCUUUUAUAGGGGGCGAAAAAAGGGAAAUCUUUCUCACUUGACAGUACCCUAUGAAUAAGCACCGGCUAACUCCGUGCCAGCAGCCGCGGUAAUACGGAGGGUGCAAGCGUUAUCCGGAUUCACUGGGUUUAAAGGGUGCGUAGGCGGGCGUAUAAGUCAGUGGUGAAAUCCUGGAGCUUAACUCCAGAACUGCCAUUGAUACUAUAUGUCUUGAAUAUGGUGGAGGUAAGCGGAAUAUGUCAUGUAGCGGUGAAAUGCAUAGAUAUGACAUAGAACACCUAUUGCGAAGGCAGCUUACUACGCCUAUAUUGACGCUGAGGCACGAAAGCGUGGGGAUCAAACAGGAUUAGAUACCCUGGUAGUCCACGCCCUAAACGAUGAUUACUCGACGUGUGCGAUAAACGGUACGCGUCUGAGCGAAAGCAUUAAAGUAAUCCACCUGGGGAAGUACGACCGCAAGGUUUGAAACUUAAAGGAAUUGACGGGGUCAUAGCUGUUUCCUG